ensembl:lncRNA
GUAGUGUAAUGUAAUGUGAUGUAAUGUGAUGUGAUGUAAUGUAAUGUGAUGUGUCAGUGCUGACCUGUUGUCUGUGGUUGUGUGUCAGAAGUGUCUCCAACUGGUCUAGCGUCUCUUGAACCACUUGCUGGUAGACGAGGUUCAUCUGAAGACACGAAUCCGUUGACGGAGACAGACCCAGCUCACUCUGAACACAGUCAAGUACAGACAGACGGGUACAGAGAGACAGACGGGUACAGACACCGUUAGUAUUACACUGACUCGUCUCUCUGUAGAUGAUGUGAAGACAUCACUGACCUCCUCACUGCUGCUGCUGUCCUCGUCAUCUGACGAAAAAAACAACAGACAAGAAUAUAUGAUGUUGAGGUACCCGAGACGCUGAUAGGACUAAGAGACAGACAAGACAGGUACCAGAGACGCAGCUAGGACAGAGAGACAGACAGGUACCCGAGACGCUGAUAGGACUAAGAGACAGACAAGACAGGUACCCGAGACGCUGAUAGGACAGAGAGACAGACAGGUACCCGAGACGCUGAUAGGACAGAGAGACAAGACAGGUACCCGAGACGCUGAUAGGACAGAGAGACAAGACAGGUACCCGAGACGCUGAUAGGACAGAGAGACAAGACAGGUACCCGAGACGCUGAUAGGGCUGUGUUGUCCCAGGACUUCCUCCAGGUUGUGGAUCUCAUUCUGGAUUUUCUCUCUCUCAGCAAACAGACCUAAAACAGACUGAACACAAAUCAUCACAGUUCAUCUCUCUUAUAAUAUUGGAAUAUGUGAUAAUAGAAUAGAAUAUAUGCUUUAUGCUAAUAGAUGCUUUCAUUAUCGUGUUAUAUUUUUAUUUAAUAAGAAGGAAAGAAUUACCUGUCUCUCCUCCUCUGUGUCAUCACCAUCUGAUUCAUCAUCUGACCAGAAACACAAAAACACUGUUAGACAGACAGGUACCCGUCUCACUGCUCAGCAGCUCCAGCUCAGAGCAGUGAGACAGGUUAGACAGACAGGUACCUGUAUCACUGCUCAGCAGCUCCAGCUCAGUGUGCGUGGCAGACAGAUCCUGUUCCAGCUGCUCCACCUGUCGCUGGAUCCUGUCUCUCUCUGCAGACAGAGAGAGAGACAUGUCUGCACGCGUAUGCGCACAUACAUUAAUAGACACCUACUGUACAGUCGGUAUUAG